UAGACUUUGAAUGCACCACACCUGCACAGCAGUUAGUCACGGCUCCUCCCUGCUCAGAGCCAGCAUGCUUUUCUUUUAAGGCCUCGGUCUGCAUGGAGAGAGAAACAGGAGAUGUAACCGGUUGAGCAGGAAGAUUUGCUGUAUUAUUGUGUUGAAGAAUAUCCUGACGCUGUUCUUCUGGAGUUUCCGUAGACAAGUGUCUCUGAUGUGCGCACGGCCAUCAGACGAAAAUGUAACAAUGAGCAG